rnacentral:rRNA from 1 species
GGAAUAUUGGACAAUGGGGGGAACCCUGAUCCAGCCAUGCCGCGUGUGUGAAGAAGGCCUUUUGGUUGUAAAGCACUUUAAGCGAGGAGGAGGCUACUCUAGUUAAUACCUAGGGAUAGUGGACGUUACUCGCAGAAUAAGCACCGGCUAACUCUGUGCCAGCAGCCGCGGUAAUACAGAGGGUGCGAGCGUUAAUCGGAUUUACUGGGCGUAAAGCGUGCGUAGGUGGCCAAUUAAGUCAAAUGUGAAAUCCCCGAGCUUAACUUGGGAAUUGCAUUCGAUACUGGUUGGCUAGAGUAUGGGAGAGGAUGGUAGAAUUCCAGGUGUAGCGGUGAAAUGCGUAGAGAUCUGGAGGAAUACCGAUGGCGAAGGCAGCCAUCUGGCCUAAUACUGACACUGAGGUACGAAAGCAUGGGGAGCAAACAGGAUUAGAUACCCCAG